UCCUCCCUCUUUCUUCGUGCUUAACACAUGCAAGUCGAACGGGUCUGCCCUGUUUUUUGCGGGGUGGGUCAGUGGCGAACGGGUGAGUAACACGUGAGUAACCUGCCCCUCACUUCUGGAUAACCGCUUGAAAGGGUGGCUAAUACGGGGUGUUCUGGCUGUGCCGCAUGGUGUGGCUGGGAAAGAUUCACUUUUGUGGUGUUUUGGUGGGGGAUGGGCUCGCGGCCUAUCAGCUUGUUGGUGGGGUGAUGGCCUGCCAAGGCUUUGACGGGUAGCCGGCCUGAGAGGGUGGGCGGUCACAGGGGGGCUGAGAUGCGGCCGGGACGGAUGCGGGAGGCAGCGGGGGGGGGUGUGGCACGAUGGGCGGGAGGCUGAUGCAGCGACGUCGCGUGAGGGAUGGAGGCGUUCGGGUUGUGAAGCUCUUUCGCGGGUGAAGAAGGUCCUGCUGUUUGUGGUGGGGUUGACGGUAGCCGGGUUAUGAAGCGCCGGCUAACUACGUG
rnacentral:rRNA from 1 species